AUUGAACGCUGGCGGCAGGCCUAACACAUGCAAGUCGAGCGGAGCGGCGGACGGGUGAGUCAUGCCUAGGAAUCUGCCUGGUAGUGGGGGAUCACGUCAGGCAACGGGCGCUAAUACCGCAUACUAUCAGAUGAGCCAAGGUCGGAUUAGCUAGAUGGUGGGGUAAAGGCCUACAAAGGCGACGAUCCGUAACUAGUCUGAGAGGAUGAUCAGUCACACUGGAACGGAGACACGUUCCAUACUCCUACGGGAGGCAGCAGUGGGGAAUAUUGGACAAUGGGCGAAAGCCUGAUCCAGCCAGGCCGCGUGUGUGAAGAAGUUCUUCGGAUUGUAAAGCACUUUAAGUUGGGAGGCGUGACCAACAGAAUAAGCACCGGCUAACUUCGUGCCAGCAGCCGCGGUAAUUC
rnacentral:rRNA from 1 species